AAUAUUUCUCGACGACGUGCACGUAAGAUUUUGAAAGUCGACAAAAAGACGAAAUAGCAGUAUUUUACUAUUUAUCGUCAAAAAGUCAAAAAUUUCAAAAACGUCUUAACGGACUCAGAUUUCACUUCCGAGUUCAUCGUUCUCAUUCAAAUAAUUAUCUCGAAUUAUUCAAAUACUCAAACUCAAAUACGGAUAUAAAAUCCCACAUCAUUCUCACAUCAUCGAAAGAACAUCUCAACAUCUUUAAAAAAAACAAAAAAAAAAACAAGAGAACUUCAUAUAACUCCUCAUCUCUGUAAAAGUAAUCAAACAAGGGAUCUAUACCUUAAUUACUCAAACUUAAGCAAUUAAACACGUCAUCAAAAUCCCGGGUAUUACACGACGACCCCCAGGCCGCCGUCCACCCCCCUCUCUCUCUCUGGAUCGACGGGCAGCAGGAGCAUCAGGCCACCGCCGCCGUCGCCAAUCCCCUCUGCCUCAUCCGUUUUCCCCAGUCGGACCACCCCCAAGACUCACGCACACACACAUCAGCCCCAAGUUUGUGUUUUGUUGAAAUCGAAA
rnacentral:lncRNA from 1 species